GGUUGACCUCGGUUCGGAGGAUAC
rnacentral:rRNA from 1 species